AGCAGUCGCCACGGUAAUACGAAGGGUGCAAGCGUUAAUCGGAAUUACUGGGCGUAAAGCGUGCGCAGGCGGUUUGUUAAGACAGAUGUGAAAUCCCCGGGCUCAACCUGGGAACUGCAUUUGUGACUGGCAAGCUAGAGUGUGCAGAGGGGGGUGGAAUUCCGCGUGUAGCAGUGAAAUGCGUAGAUAUGCGGAGGAACACCGAUGGCGAAGGCAGCCCCCUGGGCCAACACUGACGCUCAUGCACGAAAGCGUGGGGAGCAAACAGGAUUAGAUACCCCCGUAGUCCCUGUCUCUUAUACA
rnacentral:rRNA from 1 species